CUCCUGUUUUCCGGGUGAGCUGCGGUUCUCGGCCUUAGAGGACUUCACAGCUCAGCCAUGAAAGUUAGCAAUGACGUUUGGUGGUGUCCUUAUAAGAGGAGGAAAUGAGGACACAGACACACACGGAGGGACAACCACGUGAGGACACAGGGAGAAGAUGGCCAUCUACGAGCCCAGGAGAGAGGCCUCAGGAGAAACCAGCCCUGCCGACACCUCGAUCUGAGACUUCCAGCCUCCGGAACUGUGAGAAAUAGACAUUGCGUAAGCUGCGCGGUCUGUGGGAUCUGUUACAGCAGCCCUAGCAGACUAAAUGUAUGUUCUUUCACAGAAGCAACCAAGAACGAUCCAGCCUAUACAGGAAAGAAAGAGAAAAACGUGCGGUUGACUAAAGAGUUAACUUAAGUGUAAUUUCUCACACAUCAAGCUGCCAUUCGCGCACGGUGGAGUUCUGUAACUAGCAUUUAACUCUCCUCGCCAGUAAUUGGAGCUGGCUGGGGCAAACGCCUGUGUCUUAGUUCGGCUCAGAUGCAUCGAUCCUCUCCUUCUGUCUGGUCCUUCUUUGAUUCCAGAUUUUCCUUACCGGUCGCAGAGAGCCUUUCAUCUCAUCACCCGGCAUUCUUCAAGCUCCGUGUUUAAGUGUGGGUUUCCAUCAGCUACCUUUCUAGAUGCUGGUGAAAGCAGGACCUGCGCAACGUCGAAAUGCCCAAUGCUUCCCUUCCCUCGAGGCUCCAGCAUGCAGGCUGCUUCCCCUGGGCCUCAAAGGAGACACCUUAGACAGAGGCGGCUUCAGCCCGCUCACAUCGGCUGGCCAGAGUGAGCAUCUCUUCCCCGCUCUGUGGUCAGUGAUGGAGCUUAGUAGCUGGAAAUUGGCCAUGGGGGAGCAGUUACAUCAUGGAAAUCGACAAAUACUUCAAAUCUG
rnacentral:lncRNA from 1 species